GACGAACGCUGGCGGCGUGCUUAACACAUGCAAGUCGAACGCGCCUGUCCUCUGGGUUUCUGGGGGGUGGGUGAGUGGCGAACGGGUGAGUAACACGUGAGUAACCUGCCCCCUUCUUCGGGAUAACGGUCUGAAAGGGCUGCUAAUACCGGGUAUUCACUGGUCUCCGCAUGGGGUCUGGUGGAAAGGUUUUUUUCUGGUGUGGAAUGGGGUCGCGGCCUCUCAGCUUGUUGGUGGGGUGAUGGCCCACCAAGGCUUUGACGGGUAGCCGGCCUGAGAGGGUGACCGGUCACAUUGGGACGGAGAUACGGCCCAGACUCGUACGGGAGGCAGCAGUGGGGAAUAUUGCACAAUGGGCGAAAGCCUGAUGCAGCGACGCCGCGGGAGGGAUGGAGGCCUUCGGGUUGUGAACCUCUUUCGCCCGUGGUCAAGCCGCGACGUGGGUCGUGGUGAGGGUAGUGGGUAAAGAAGCGCCGGCUAACUACGUG
rnacentral:rRNA from 1 species